GACGAACGCUGGCGGCGUGCUUAACACAUGCCAGUCGAACGGAAAGGCCCUGCUUUUGUGGGGUGCUCGAGUGGCGAACGGGUGAGUAACAAGUGAGUAACCUGCCCUUGACUUUGGGAUAACUUCAGGAAACUGGGGCUAAUACCGGAUAGGAGCUCCUGCUGCAUGGUGGGGGUUGGAAAGUUUCGGCGGUUGGGGAUGGACUCGCGGCUUAUCAGCUUGUUGGUGGGGUAGUGGCUUACCAAGGCUUUGACGGGUAGCCGGCCUGAGAGGGUGACCGGCCACAUUGCGUCUGAGCUACGACCCAGACUCCUACGGGAGGCAACAGUGGGGAAUAUUGCACAAUGGGCGGAAGCCUGAUGCAGCAACGCCGCGUGCGGGAUGACGGCCUUCGGGUUGUAAACCGCUUUCGCCUGUGACGAAGCGUGAGUGACGGUAAUGGGUAAAGAAGCACCGGCUAACUACGUG
rnacentral:rRNA from 1 species